UAGGGAAUCUUCGGCAAUGGGGGCAACCCUGACCGAGCAACGCCGCGUGAGUGAAGAAGGUUUUCGGAUCGUAAAGCUCUGUUGUAAGAGAAGAACGUGUGUGAGAGUGGAAAGUUCACACAGUGACGGUAACUUACCAGAAAGGGACGGCUAACUACGUGCCA
rnacentral:rRNA from 1 species